ACAUGCCUACAACAUAGUGUUAAUGCAUCAGAUCCCAUUAGAACUCUGUAGUUAAGUGCACUUAGGCUAGAGUAGUAUUGGGAUGGGUGAUCACCCGGGAAGUCCUACUAUUUUACAUGCC
rnacentral:rRNA from 1 species